rnacentral:lncRNA from 1 species
CCGAUUUUUCAUGAAAUUGAUAAUUGUUUUUGACUAUAGUGCCAAAAGAAUAAGUUUCCAAUGAGUAUUAAUCUGAGUGUCAGUUAAAACAUGCUAUAGGGUGUAAUUGAACCCUAUGUUACUGCAAGUGCACAUUCUGGUAAUUAGUAUAAGAAGCACUUCCUGAUAAAUUCAUCACACGUGAGCCAUCAUUUUUACAUCCAUUAUAGCAUCUUAAUGUUUCUUCCAUCUGCCGAGUUUGUGUGAACACAACAUUUACGGUGGUGUAUGUGUUUUAUAAUGUAGGUGUGAUUUCUAACAAUAAUGUGAUUUCAUGAAACGAAUGUGGUUAUAAUUUUGUUUUAAUCAUUAAUGAUUAAAAGGGAUUUGCUUGACUUCGUAAAUGUAUCGUUGAUACGCUUUUAAUUGGAACUAUCUGUAUCAACUGUUGAAUAAAGCCACAUAGAAAAAAGGAUGAUUAAAUAACUUUUAUGUCACUGAAAUGGAUUUAAAGGAAUAAAAAUUAGAACUUGACAUCAACCAAAAUGAGUGGUAAAAAAUUUGGGCAUCGGAAUGGCCAAAUACCGGACUACAACAUUGUUCUUUUGGGACAAAUAGGAGUUGGGAAAUCUG